AGUCAGCAGCAGAAAGACUCAACAAACCGCCUCACCUACCAAUAAUUAAGUACUUUGGGACCAUUCGGAGCUUUUGUAAUGAUUGGCCACCUUACUUUGUCGUUUCUUGCCCGGCGCUUUACAGCUAUGUGGAUAUCGAGUUCAAAUUGCUCUCUUAGUGACUGAGCCCUCACGAUGAAACCCAUGGGGGACUGGGGUUCCGCUCUAACAGGUGAAGUACUGAGAUCGUGUGAAGCGAUACAGUCAGGAAGGGAUCUGUCCUUUGCGCUCCACAUUAUUUGUGGAGUUUUCCAUACAGUAAGGCACAGGAAUUCAUAAAUAAUGAGUUGGUAUGAUCAGCUGUAUGUGUCCUCUUUUAAUUUUACUUCACAACAAAAGGGAUCUGUUUAGACUAAAGUAGACGUCUUGGUAGAGAUUAUGCACAUUUGUAGUUUGUGCCUGACAUUUUUAUUUCAUAUUGAAUAUAUUACAAUGACAAACAAAAACAGACUAUAAUAUGACAAUUUAGCUUUGACAGAAAUUCAGUAUAGCAUAUUAAAUGUUGGAAAUAUAUCUUGGAUUUUUUUAUUUGUUUUGACGUGACUAAGAUCAUAAUUUAAUUUAGAAAGCAAAUUUGAGGCAUUUCAUGUUGGAAAUGUAAGAAUUGAUUUGAUUUGAAAGAUGAUGUGCAAUGUACACAUAACAAAUAUUUCUGUUAAUGUAUAUCCACAUUUAACUGCCAUAAAACAGAGGCUCCAAACGUCAUAAAUAUUGUUAGCUGAUACAUGAUUUAUUAUCACCAGAAAUAUACAGAAAUGUACCCAAUAUAUCAUGUCAGUUUAUGAAUUCAUAUUUUCUAUGUAGAAUUAAACUUACGAGUUUUAUAUAUAUAUUGAUGCAUUAUAUAUCUGAGGAAAUAUGAACAUGUCUAUAGAUUUAGAAAAUGAUUUACAUUUUUUAAUGAUUUGUAUUUGAAAGAAUUCAUCCAGUGAACAGCGAGCAGCUUCCCUCGACUGUCAAAGCGUUAACCCGAGCUGCGGACUGUAACCCUAACCCUCAC
ensembl:lncRNA